rnacentral:rRNA from 1 species
GACGGACGCUGGCGGCGUGCUUAACACAUGCAAGUCGAACGGAAAGGCCCUGCUUUUGUGGGGUGCUCGAGUGGCGAACGGGUGAGUAACACGUGAGUAACCUGCCCUUGACUUUGGGAUAACUUCAGGAAACUGGGGCUAAUACCGGAUAGGAGCUCCUGCUGCAUGGUGGGGGUUGGAAAGUUUCGGCGGUUGGGGAUGGACUCGCGGCUUAUCAGCUUGUUGGUGGGGUAGUGGCUUACCAAGGCUUUGACGGGUAGCCGGCCUGAGAGGGUGACCGGCCACAUUGGGACUGAGAUACGGCCCAGACUCCUACGGGAGGCGGCAGUGGGGAAUAUUGCACAAUGGGCGGAAGCCUGAUGCAGCAACGCCGCGUGCGGGAUGACGGCCUUCGGGUUGUAAACCGCUUUCGCCUGUGACGAAGCGUGAGUGACGGUAAUGGGUAAAGAAGCACCGGCUAACUACGUG